AGUGAACGCUGGCGGUAGGCCUAACACAUGCAAGUCGAACGGCAGCACAGUAAGAGCUUGCUCUUACGGGUGGCGAGUGGCGGACGGGUGAGGAAUACAUCGGAAUCUACUUUUUCGUGGGGGAUAACGUAGGGAAACUUACGCUAAUACCGCAUACGACCUACGGGUGAAAGCAGGGGAUCUUCGGACCUUGCGCGAUUGAAUGAGCCGAUGUCGGAUUAGCUAGUUGGCGGGGUACAGGCCCACCAAGGCGACGAUCCGUAGCUGGUAUGAGAGGACGGUUAGCCGCCCUGGGAGUGUGACACGGUACAGAGUCCCUCGGGAGGGGGCCAUGGGGAAUAUUGGACAAUGGGCGCAAGCCUGAUCCAGACAUACCGCGUGGGUGAAGAAGGCCUUCGGGUUGUAAAGCCCUGUUGUUGGGAAAGAAAAGCAGCAGGUUAAUACCCCGCUGUUCUGACGGUACCCAAAGAAUAAGCACCGGCUAACUUCGUG
rnacentral:rRNA from 1 species